AUUGAACGCUGGCGGCAUGCCUUACACAUGCAAGUCGAACGGUAACAGGUCUUCGGAUGCUGACGAGUGGCGAACGGGUGAGUAAUGUAUCGGAACGUGCCCAGUUGUGGGGGAUAACUACUCGAAAGAGUGGCUAAUACCGCAUACGACCUGAGGGUGAAAGCGGGGGAUCGCAAGACCUCGCGCAAUUGGAGCGGCUGAUAUCAGAUUAGGUAGUUGGUGGGGUAAAGGCUCACCAAGCCAACGAUCUGUAGCUGGUCUGAGAGGACGACCAGCCACACUGGGACUGAGACACGGCCCAGACUCCUACGGGAGGCAGCAGUGGGGAAUUUUGGACAAUGGACGCAAGUCUGAUCCAGCCAUGCCGCGUGCGGGAAGAAGGCCUUCGGGUUGUAAACCGCUUUUGUCAGGGAAGAAACGAGUGUCUCUAAUACAGAUGCUUAAUGACGGUACCUGAAGAAUAAGCACCGGCUAACUACGUGCCAGCCGCCGCCGUAAGAC
rnacentral:rRNA from 1 species